AGUGAACGCUGGCGGUAGGCCUAACACAUGCAAGUCGAACGGCAGCACAGAGGAGCUUGCUCCUUGGGUGGCGAGUGGCGGACGGGUGAGGAAUACAUCGGAAUCUACUCUGUCGUGGGGGAUAGCGUAGGGAAACUUACGCUAAUACCGCAUACGACCUACGGGUGAAAGCAGGGGAUCUUCGGACCUUGCGCGAUUGAAUGAGCCGAUGUCGGAUUAGCUAGUUGGCGGGGUAAAGGCCCACCAAGGCGACGAUCCGUAGCUGGUCGGAGAGGAUGAUCAGCCACACUGGAACUGAGACACGGUCCAGACUCCUACGGGAGGCAGCAGUGGGGAAUAUUGGACAAUGGGCGCAAGCCUGAUCCAGCCAUACCGCGUGGGUGAAGAAGGCCUUCGGGUUGUAAAGCCCUUCUGUUGGGAAAGAAAUCCAUCUGGUUAAUACCCGGGUGGGAUGACGGUACCCAAAGAAUAAGCACCGGCUAACUUCGUGCCAGCAGCCGCCGCUG
rnacentral:rRNA from 1 species